rnacentral:misc_RNA from 1 species
UCUCCGUAGGUGAACCUGCGGAGGGAUCAUUACAGAGUUCAUGCCCUACCGGGUAGAUCUUCCCACCCUAUGUUAUUAUUACUUUGUUGCUUUGGCGGGCCGUUAGGCUCCGGCCCGACUACCGGCCCCGGCGGGUAAGCGCCCACCAGAGGACCCAAAACCCUGAAUAUUAGUGUCGUCUGAGUACUAUAUAAUAGUUAAAACUUUCAACAACGGAUCUCUUGGUUCUG